rnacentral:misc_RNA from 1 species
GCCAAUUCGACUCCGCUCAAAUGGCGAGGAUCAAGGUCCAUGAGCUCCGCGGUAAAUCGAAGGCGGAUCUGCUGACCCAGCUCAAUGAACUCAAGGCGGAGCUCGCCCUCCUCCGCGUCGCCAAGGUCACCGGCGGCGCCCCCAACAAGCUAUCCAAGAUCAAAGUCGUUCGACUGUCGAUCGCGCAGGUGCUGACAGUUAUCUCGCAGAAGCAGAAGGCCGCGCUGCGCGAGGUCUACAAGAAGAAGAAGUAUCUCCCGCUUGAUCUCAGGCCGAAGAAGACCCGGGCUAUCCGCCGCCGGCUCACCAAGCACCAGGAGUCUCUAAAGACUGAACGGGAGAAGAAAAAAGAGAUGUAUUUUCCAAUGAGGAAGUAUGCCAUCAAGGCCUAGGAUAUGACUUCUAAGAUUUUUCUUGCAUGUUUGGAUUUAAGGGAUGAUUUUUCUCGCAUGUUUGGAUUUAAGGGUUGGCACUGCUGUGCUAGAUUUUAAUUCAGCUUCUCAGUAGACUGUAGAACUGUCCUUUCCUUUCAAAUGACUAUUUAAUUU